rnacentral:rRNA from 1 species
GUAGGUGGCAAGCGUUGUCCGGAAUUAUUGGGCGUAAAGCGCGCGCAGGCGGUUCUUUAAGUCUGAUGUGAAAGCCCACGGCUCAACCGUGGAGGGUCAUUGGAAACUGGAGAACUUGAGUACAGAAGAGGAAAGCGGAAUUCCACGUGUAGCGGUGAAAUGCGUAGAGAUGUGGAGGAACACCAGUGGCGAAGGCGGCUUUCUGGUCUGUAACUGACGCUGAGGCGCGAAAGCGUGGGGAGCAAACAGGGAUUAGAUACCCUGGUAGUCCACGCCGUAAACGAUGAGUGCUAAGUGUUAGGGGGGUUUCCGCCCCCUUAGUCCUGCAGCUAACGCAUUAAGCACUCCGCCUGGGGAGUACGGCCGCAAGGCUG